GAAAAAAAUUAAAAACUCUUUAAAAUUUAAAGAAAAUAUAGAAUAUAAUUACUAGAAUCUUUUGUCCUUCGAUUUAUGUUUUUAAUUUGAAGCACUAAACAUGAACAAUUUCGCCUUUUCAUGUAUGAAAAGUAUUUAAAACCCAAACUUAAAAAAAACAUAAAGAAACUAAUGCAAUACCACAUGUACAAGCCCAAUUUAUGCCCAGGGCCCAAAACCAAAUCAAACCUAAACCCCAAAACCCCUAUCCAUUACAACCACAUUAACCCGAACCAGGCCCAAUACCCCAAAUUAGGCCCAAAACCCAAAGCCCAACAAAAUCGGCCCAACAAGCCCAAUACAAACCCUGGCAUUUCAGAAACCCUAGAAAAAAACCUUAGCCCCUAGCCUAGCGCCGCACGUCCCAUCGGCUACUUACCCUGCCACCGCCUCUAACCAGCGCCGCACCUGCCACUGCCCCUCGCACGCCUCCGUUACGUCACCACCAACUCUGCCAUCUGCUCCAAAUACCUACAAACAAAGCAAGCAAAACAGAAGCAAUACAAAUAGCAGAGAAACAUGAAAAAAAUAGAAAAAAUAUUGUAUCUAUUCGGCUAUAAAAGCAACAGACAUCAAUGUAUUCAGGGGGAUUUUUGAAAAAAAUACAAAAAAAAAGAGAAAAGAAAAUAAAAAAGAAACGUUGAAGGAGAUUUUACUUCUAUUUUGGUUUCAAAUCGGGCCGAUUCUACUGUUUUGUUUUUUUCAUUUAUUUUAUACGGAAAUAACAAGAAAAAGAAAGGAAAGGAGGAACUUACCGGGAUCGUUUCGCGUUUGUGUCGUCGGAGGCUUCUUUUUCGUCGACAGAAUUGAUUGUUGAAGGCCGGUGGUCCUCCCCCUUUUGUUCUCUUUUUGGUGUUUCGAGACCGGAUCCGUGUUUAAGUGGCCAGGAUCUAAAAAAAAGAGAACUUUUUGACCCUCCGCUGCCGUGCAUGGCGACGCCGGUGACCGGCGGCCGAUGCGGUGGCCCUCGGCCAGACCCAAGACCGGAGGGAGGGAGGUUUUCAGAGAGUAAACUCUCAUUUUUUUCUGAAAUAGAGAGAAGAAUGAUUUUUUUUUUAAAUCUAACUUAUAUAGGGCGACUAAACGGCAUCGUUUUGAAGCUUGCGCUUAGAGACCAAAACGGCGCCGUUUCACCCCUAACCUGAUCCAGACUACCCGACCCGACCCGCCUAGGAUCCGUGUGUUUUUAAGCGGAAGGGCUAAUUGCGCUUUCAGCCCUUCCACUGUUAAAACAUUUUAUAAUCAAGUCCCUUUGUUUGUUUUUAAAUUCAUCUGGUAAUUUAUUUUUCUUUACAAUCUAGUCCCACGAAGCUACGUCGUUUUAAAGGAGAAGGAUAAAUUAUCUUUUUGGUCCCUCAAUUUUUACGCGCGUCAUAUUGGGGUCCUAAUUUGUUCUUUUUUAGAUCUUUAAUUUUAUUUCUCUUUCGAUUUAGUCCCUUUUGCGUUUUAUUUUUAAUUUAGGCUCUCAAUUUUAUUUUAAACUUCAAUUUAGUACAGCUUUCAUUUAUAAUCAAAUUCUUAUUUUUUUUAUAUGUACCCAUUGUAUCUAUUUAUUUAUUUAUUUUGCCCUCACGUGCAUAUUUUUAAUUUUUACAAGUGUGUAUACACGUACUUUCAUGUUUCUUGUAUUUCAUAAUUUUUAUAUAUUUACAUAUAUAUGUACAUAUUUUAAUUUAUAUACAUACUUAUGUAUAUUCAUUAUAUUUUAAAAUAUUUUUUUUCUUAUUUUAUAAUUCACAUAUAUAUUUUUAUUUUUACAAUUUAUAUAUAUACAAAUGUAUAUAUAUCUACAUACAUAUUUUCUAUAUUUAUAUGCGUAUAUAUACAUAUGUCAACAUACAUUUUUUUAUUUUUUUAUUUUAUAUAUAUGUACAUAUAUACAUACUUUUAUAUACUUUUUAUAUUUCAUAAUUUUUAUAUACAUAUAUAUAUACAUGUUCUAAUUUAUACACAUAUAUGUAUAUACAUGCUUACAUGUAUUUUUACAUCUAAUAAUUUUAAAAUAGAUAUAUAUACAUACAUAAAUAUAUCUCUUACAUUCUCAUAAUUUUAUUUUAUUUAUUUAUUUAUUUAUAUUUUCAUUAUUAUUUUUGAAAGAAUGUUUUAUUUGCUUAUGUACUUGUUAUUUCGUACGAUAUUGAUUCGUCCUUUUAUUUUAUGUUGUUGCUAUCGCUCGUAUUAUUUUUACAUCAUCAUAUCCAAUAUUGCAUUGUUACACAUAUUAAUAUUGUGUUUAUUAAAUCAUAGCUUUAAAAUAAGCAAAAUUUCAUAUUCUGAGAUUCGAAAAGAUCGUGCCCUAACUUACUGGGUUUCGACUUUCUAGACGAAUUCAAACAUACGAAUCCUUUCAAACUUAAGUUUUUUAAACAAUCUCGAAAAUUAUUAAAAGAUCGUGUUCUAACUUACGGGACAUGAUUUCUUUUCUAAACCCGAGAUAAUCAAAUAUCUUUCAAAAUAAAUAAUUUAUUUUUUGGGGGGGCAUUUAUUCACGUAUCGAGAAUUCAAGACAUUGUAUCUUAACUUACGGGAUAUAAUUCUCUUUCUUGAUUAACGUAAAAUAUGCCCUUUUUCUCGAAAUUUUUAGCAUUUCAAUAAAGGAUCGUGUUUUGAGUCUUUUUCAAAUUUUCAAUCUUCGACACUAAGACAUUAAUUAAUCAAUUAGGUACCAAUUUUGGGUGUUACGAGGGUGCUAAUCCUUCCUCGUACGUAACCGACUCCCGAACCGGUUUUUUGAUUUUCGUGGACCAAAAUCGCUGUUUUGAUAAAACCGAAUUGUUUAUUAAAACAACCAUUUUUCGAGGUGGCCUGAUCACACCUCAUCAAAAAAGAUUGGUGGCGACUUCCAUUUUUGUUUUCAUUUUUCAAAACCCAAGUCGACCCAUUUUAUCAAAAAAAUGGUGUCAACUGCUUGGCGACUCCACUGGGGAGCAAUAUGAGAGUCAAGGCGCGAGUUGAUUACUUUUUGUCUUUUUGUCAAAAAUAAAAAACUUGGUUUAAAUAUACGAUCCUUUCGUUGCAUUUUCAUUCAUCUUUAUUACGACAUUCAUCAUUGUCAUUUAUAAUCGUUGUGUUAGUUUAAGUUUGGAUAUAUUUCUGCGCAUUGCAUUGCAUGACCACUCGGUCAUACCCUUCUAAGUGGGAGUGAGAAACUACGCCUUCGUGAGGUUUUCACCUCCGCAUGGGAUAGUGAAUUGCUUCUGGGAUACAUCCGUGCCUAUAUCUUCGUGAGAUUUUCAUCUCCGCAUGGCCAUAGGGAAAUGUAUUCCCCUGAACUGAACUCGGUCAAUAUGAGCCUAUAAUGGGUGAGGAUCGAGGAAUCUACUGGUUCGGGUACCUUUGCUUUAGAACCAAACAACAUGUAGAAGACCUUAGGAGCCCACCCUAGGUAGAGCCACUUCAAACCCUUAGUGGUUACCCGAAUAGGUACUCUAUUUUUCUUGUUUGCUUUUGCUUUGAACUAACCCGUUUCGUUUUGUUUUGGUUAUGAUUGCAUUGCAUUUUCAUCUUAGAAAAAAGGUGUUAAUUCAAAUUUGAUUACUAAAUUAGAAAGUUUGUCAUGGAAAAUGAAUUUCUUGAUAAUGUGGAAGAUAAUAUGGCUGCCCAAAUAUAUCUCAAGAAACACAACAAAAGAAGGGUGAUGAAAGAGUACAUGACUUUACUUCGUGGCCCGAAGAUUCAAGCUAAUUAUUUGAGGGUCAUCGAUGUUCUGACUUCCUUAAAGAAGCUGAUGAGCAUUACGAGGAUGGGUAGACGAUGGAUCACAACCAGGAUCAAGCAAGAAGGAGUUAGUAGUGGCAUUUCGCGAGAUUCAUUUUAACAUCCAGAUGAAGAAAAGGAUCGAUGUUGUUUCUUGCAGUGUGAAGGCAAGGUCGUACAUGCAUCCGUUUUAUGUAAAGAAAUUUAUUUUUAGUAAAGUUUUCUAAAUGGAAUUGAAUCAGAGUCAACGUAUUUUUUUUGCAUUCAGGCAUCUGCAUUACAUUUCAUUGCAUGCAUCAAAUUUCACUAAAAGACCCUAAUCAAACAAAAUCAUUUCAGAAUCAAUGGAAACCAACCUGCCAAACCAACGUCCUCACGGUACUCGAACAGAAGCUCAAGGAAUGGAUCAGAGAUUGGAACGAUUAGAGCAAAUGCAAAUACAGAUGCAAGAGCAAUUGACUAAAUUUCAACAGGAUAUGAAAGAUCAGAUACUAGAGGUCUAAAAAAAUCUGAUGAGUAACCUAGUUAUUAGAUAGAGGGUUAGAAAAAGGAAAAAACACAGCGAUCCAUUUUGGGGAUGAUGAAGACCCUGCUUAUUUUCCAAGCUUUACCCCAACAAACAUCCAGGCACAACCAAAUACAUAUCCACAAGGAGUAACUGUUAACGUCCGACCACAAUACCAGACCGGUACCUCGACACCGGUGAAUUUCUCAACAGGCUCAGGAUCCAAUUUGAGGAGCAAUCUAGUUAAGCAUGUUGCCUCUGAUGAUCCGAAACAAGUGAGGGUAGAAUACUAGAUACUGUAAAGGCCUCGAAAAAGAGGAAAAAUGAGUUGAAUGAUGCGGGCAAGUAUAACAAGGGCUACUCAAAACCAACCAUUGUGGACCAGUCAAAGACAAAAACCACUAGCCAUCAGGUCCCCCAAAGACAAGAAUCUGGGACAAAGCAAAACAUCGAGAAACCCUAAUUUACACUAAUCCCAAUGUCAUACCAGGAGCUGUAUCAGAGUUUAUUUGACGCACAUAUUUUUUCUCCUUUCUACUUGAAACCUUUACAACCUCCGUACCCCAAAUGGUACGACACGAAUACGAAAUGUGACUAUCAUGCGGGAAUUACGGGGCAUUCCAUAGAAAAUUGCACUGCCUUUAAAAAUUUGGUUAAAAGGCUUGCCAAUAUGGACAUUGUCAAAUUUGAUGAGUCAUCCAGUGCAGGCAAUCCGUCACCCAAUCACGUCGAUAAUGGGGUAAAUGCGAUGUAUGAAAAAGGAGGGAAACGUUCACAUCAAUGCCAUACAUGACGACAUAAUUGAAAAAGGACCUUAUUAGAUAUCUACCCUUACAUACUUAGGGGUGCUUUGAAAAAUGGGACUGUGGAAGAGAUCCCUAUAUUUUUAAGACCUAACUCAGAGUAAUGUUUAAAACACGCUUAUUGCUCUAAGCCUAGGAGCAGUAAGAAUCUUUUUGUGAGAUAGACUUAUGUUCAAUAUCUUUAUUUCAAUAAAAUGCAUCUUUGUUUCUCACUUUGAACAAAUAUUCUUUUAUUAUUUCCAUUUCAUUCAUAAUCUUACUAUACAGAUAAAUAUUCUUAGAUUAUUUUAUUCUUUGGAUCUACUUUCGUCCCUAUGACAGGUCUCUAAAUAUCAAUGAUAUGAGCGACACUGCUAUUAACUCAGAACCUCCUUUUGAGCAGGAUAUGUAUCUAAAUUAAACCUUAGGACUUUGGAGAUAACUAAGAUUGUAGCUUAUCUCCUGAUUUGUUAAGGACGGGAGAACAAGAUCCUACCUUAUUACAAAGAAUCAAUGGAGGCCAUGACCUUUCUCUAUGUGGGGCACAUAUGUCAUAGGGCCGAUCUCGCCUAAGAUUUUUGGCAGUUAUCUUUAUGGUUAUCGAUUACCUCACUAAGUGGGCAGAAGCUGCUUCAUAUGCCAAUGUUGCAAAGCCGACAGUCUGUAAAUUCUUGAAAAAUUAUAUGUCACUAUGGAAUGCCAAAAAAGAGCAUAUCUGACAACGCACUAAAAUUAAACAAUGGCACGAUAUCAGAAGUUUGCAGUCUGUUCAAGGUUAACACAUUUCGCCUCAAAAUAAACGGUGUAGUGGGAGCAAAAAUAAAACAAAAAAAGAGGAAAAACUGCUACCGGGGCAAUGCAUUGGCUUAUCACAGUCUUGCUCAUUGAGGUCAAGAUUCCUUCUCUUCGAGUGUUGAAUCAGAUCCCAAUUGAAGAGAAAUGUUCAACGUUAUCCAUCUUGGUCAAAUGCACCAAAAACAAAAGACGCGAGCUCACCAAAGAAGGUUCACCCUAGAGAGUUCUAUGAGGGGGACCUAGCAUCGAAGAAGAUCCUCCCCAUACAAAAAGAGCUUUAGAAGAAAGAGGAUAUCAAACUUAAAAUGACCUUAUAUGGAAGGCUUUAUCUAGAGAAGCGUAAUUUUGACCAUAAAGGAUAGCAAGGACUUACCUGAUCCUACAAGUUCGAAUUCAAUCAAAGAAUGUUCAAAAAAAAGAAAGAAAAAAGAAAGAAAAAAGAAAAAAAAGAAAAGAAGAAAAAGAAAAAGGAGAGGCCAAGGUGAAAAUACACAAAGGGCGCCUUGAGACCAAAGGGGUUUUGAAUUGAAAACCCAGGAAUGGGCGGUUCAAAUUUUGAUCAAAGGUAGGGCAUGUGGUAGCCUUGUCCUCUUUGAAUUAUCAAGAAGGUGAGACACUGCAUCUCGGGGCAUCAACAAAGUCUUCUAAGACCUCUAAAUGCAUAUCAAGUUUAAAAAGGUCUUCAAGAAGCUCAUACAGAGAAGCUCAUGCUGCGAUAUCUGGGGCACCUGUUUUCAUCUUAUUCAUUUCGUAUCUUAGCAAAAUUUACUAUCUUGAUUAAUUUAUUCAUUUCGAGCUGUGCUCUCAAUAAGAUUUCAUCUUAUCCAUUGUGGUAAUCUUUUUCAUCUUCUCUUAGCAAAAUUUCCUAUCUUGACUAAUUUAUUCAUUUCGAGCUUUGUUUCAAUGAAAUUUCAUCUUGUCCAUUGUGAUAAUCUUUUUCAAGCAUUUUUCAUUGAAAUAACGAUUAAUGGACUGAAUAUUCAAGCAAAAGGAGUUUUACAUAUUACUCUGAAAGCUUCUAAAUAGUACAAGGACCUGAAACAGGACUAUUGUUUAGAACUAACCAAACCGAGGGGUUAGAAACAUUUGAGAAAGAAUAGUCUAAAUUGCGACUAUUUCGUUGGUUUUUUUUGUUGAAGAUACUAGCUGAACAAGUAGGCAUCUGUGAUAGAACCUUAAUGAAUAACGAGCAAUGACAACCCUAACAUUAAAAAAAGGGAUCAUUCUCAUGACAUUCUGCAUUCAUGCAAAUAUAAUUCAUACACAUCUAGUUAGGAGCAUUUGUUUCAUCUUGGUCACGUCAUCCUAAACACUAGACAUAAAUAGGUCCAUAAAAUGGAUUCUGCAAGUCAUGUUCCCUAGAGAACAGAUCAGCGUAGUCACAAACAUUGUCUCUCUGAAGUUGCAGUAGAGCAAUUUGAAGUCACUAACCUUAUCCCCCUGAAGUUGCAGUGGGACAAGUUGAGAUAUAAAUCCGGUCUCCCUGAAGUUGCAAUGGAGCGGGUCAAAAUGAUGGAUCUUAUCUUUCUAAAGUUGCAGUAGAACAGAUCGCAUCAGACUUUAUUGGAGCCACAAGUUUUAUCUCGCUGAGGAUGCAGUAGAGUAGACUGAAGAUAUCAAGUCUUAUUUCCCUGAAGUUGCAGUGGAACAGAUUGAAGCUAUAAACUACAAAUCCUAUCUAUCUGAAGUUGCAGUAGAGCAGAUCAAAUCAAGUCUUAUCCCCCUAAAGUUGCAGUGGGGCAAGUUGAAAUUACAAGUUAGAUCUCUCUGAAAUUGCAGUAGAGUAGGUUGAAAAAACAAACAUUGUCUCUCUGAAGUUGCAGUAGAGCAAGUUGAAGUCACUAUCCUUAUCCCCCUAAAGUUCCAGUGGGGCAAGUUGAAGAUAUAAGUCCUAUCUCCCUGAAGUUGCAGUGGAGCGGGUCAAAAUGAUGGAUUUUAUCUCUCUAAAGUUGCAGUAGAACGGAUCACAUUAGACUUUAUUGGAAAUUACGAGUCUUAUUUCCCUGAAGUUACAGUGGAGCAAGCUGAAGAUAGCGAAUCUUAUUUCCCUGAAGUUGCAGUGGAACAAAUUAAGGCUAUAAAUUACAGAUCUUAUCUCUCUGAAGUUGCAGUGGAGCAGAUUAAAGUUACUAGUCCUAUCUUCCUGAAUUUGCAGUGAAGCGGAUUAAAAGGAUGGAUCUUAUCUCUCCGAAGUUGCAGUAGAGCAGAUCGCAUCAGACUUUAUUGAAGCUACAAGUCUUAUCUCACUGAGGUUGCAGUAGAAUAGACUGAAGAUAGCAGAUCUUAUCUCUCUGAAGUUGCAGUAGAGCAAAUCACAAUGAGUCUUAUCUCCCUGAAGUUGUAGUGGAGCGGACCAAAAUAAUGAAUCCUAUACCUCUGAAGUGUCAGUAGGUUGGAUUAAAUUUACCAUAACAAGUCUUAUCUCCCUCAAGUUGUAGUGGAGUAGACUGUAGAUAGUGGAUCUUAUCAAAUCAAACCUUAUCUCCCUACAGUCGCAGUGGAGCAGGUUAAAGCAAUAAGUCUUAUCUCCCUAAAAUUGCCGUGGAGCAGGUUGAAGAUAUAAGUCUUAUUUCCCUAAAGUUGUAGUUGAGCAGACUGAAGCUACUAAUCCUAUCUCCCUGAAGUUGUAGUGGAGCGGAUUAAAGCGAUGAAUCCCAUACCUUUGAAGUUGUAGAAGAUCGGAUUAAAUCUUAUCAUACUAAGUCUUAUCUCCCUGAAAUUGUAGUGGAUCAGACCGAAGAUAGCAAGUCUUAUCUCCCUGACGUUGCAGUGAAGCAGACUAAAACCAAAACCUCGUCCCCUUAAAGUUACAGCAGAGUGGAUUGAAGCUACAAGUCGUAUCUGAAGUUGCAGAAGAGUGGAUCGAAGCAACAAGACACAAUGGACAGGAUUGAAGCUACUUCAAGAAGAGAAGCGCCAGAACAAGUCAAGAAUCAGCGAGACCGGGCAGAAUUGGUCUUUCUUAGUCUUUGCUCUGUUCUCAUUACAUGACAAUGAGCAAAGAGGGGCAGCUGUACAAGCCCAAUUUAUGCCCGGGGCCCAAAACCAAACCAAAUCUAAACCCCAAAACCCUUAACCAUUACAACUACAUUAACUCGAACCAGGCCUAACACCCUAAAUUAGGCCCAAAACCCGAAGCCUAACAAAAUCGGCCCAACAAGCCCAAUACAAACCCUGACAUUUCAAAAACCCUAAAAAAACCCGUAGCCCCUAGCCUAGUGCCGCACAUCCCAUCGGCCACUUACCCUGCCACUGCCUCUGACCAGUGCCACACCUGCCACCGCCCCUCGCAAGCCUCCGUCACGUCACCACCAACUCUGCCAUCUGCUCCAAAUACCUGCAAACAAAGCAAGCAAAACAGAAGCAAUACAAAUAGCAGAGAAACAUGAAAAAAAUAGAAAAAAUAUUGUAUCUAUUCAGCUAUAAAAGCCACAGACAUCAAUGUAUUCAGGGGGAUUUUUGAAAAAAAUACAAAAAAAACAGAGAAAAGAAAAUAAAAAAGAAAUGUUGAAGGUGAUUUUACUUCUAUUCUAGUUUCAAAUUGGGCCGAUUCUACUGUUAUUAAUUUUUUAUUUUUCAUUUAUUUUAUACUGAAACAAGAAAAAGAAAGGAAAGGAGGAACUUACUGGGAUCGUUUCGCGUUUGUGUCGUCGGAGG
rnacentral:lncRNA from 1 species